UACGGGGGGGGCAAGCGUUGUUCGGAAUUACUGGGCGUAAAGGGCUCGUAGGCGGCCAACUAAGUCAGACGUGAAAUCCCUCGGCUUAACCGGGGAACUGCGUCUGAUACUGGAUGGCUUGAGGUUGGGAGAGGGAUGCGGAAUUCCAGGUGUAGCGGUGAAAUGCGUAGAUAUCAGGAGGAACACCGAUGGCGAAGGCAGGUCUCUGGGCCACUACUGGACGCUGAGAAGCGAAAGCAUGGGGAGCGAACAGG
rnacentral:rRNA from 1 species